UGGGGAAUUUUCCGCAAUGGGUGAGAGCCUGACGGAGCAACGCCGCGUGAGGGAGGACGGCCUGUGGGUUGUAAACCUCUUUUCUCAGGGAAGAAGAUCUGACGGUACCUGAGGAAUCAGCAUCGGCUAACUCCGUGCCAGCAGCCGCGGUAAGACGGAGGAUGCAAGCGUUAUCCGGAAUUAUUGGGCGUAAAGCGUCCGUAGGCGGUUAUUUAAGUCUGCUGUCAAAGACCACAGCUCAACUGUGGGCGGGCGGUGGAAACUGGGUAACUAGAGUUCGGUAGGGGUAGAGGGAAUUCCCAGUGUAGCGGUGAAAUGCGUAGAUAUUGGGAAGAACACCAGUGGCGAAGGCGCUCUACUGGGCCGAGACUGACGCUGAUGGACGAAAGCUAGGGGAGCGAAAGGGAUUAGAUACCCCCGUAGUCC
rnacentral:rRNA from 1 species